CCGUUUCGCGCCCUUUAAUCGUCUCCAUAUUGUAUUCCAUGAUAUACGAGAAGGAUGUUAUUAUUUCUAUUGCUCCUAGAUAAAAGAUUUAGUGACAACUACAUAUUUAGCAGUGAGUUUUUUUUUAGAUAAAAGAGAACAUUUACCGUUGCAACAUCCAAUAUUUUAACACUGAAUUUUGUUUAUUUUCAAUGUUCAUAUGUAUACAUGUAUCACAGUGUAAAAUCCGCUGGAAGUUCUAAAGACUGAAAUUGCUGAGUUUUACUCUGAGUAUAGACAAACUUGUGUAUCUGGAAACAUUCGAUUGCAUGAUUCAGAAAAUUGAAAUACAUCAUGACAUUAAUGAUUUAAAAAAAAAAAAAUAUUAUGGGGGUUUGAUCCGGUUGGGAACAAAUAUUCUCGAUGGUGUUUAUACCUUUAUAGAGGGAUUAAAGGAUACCUCUAUAGAGGGGUAUUUUUGUUUAGACUGGAUCCAAUUUUAUCCCUCUAUAGCAGGAUUAUCCCUCUAUACAGGUUUAAACACAUGUAUAGAGGGUUUGUUUCCAACCUGUUGAUAGGCAGAAGGAUUUGAAAAUACUAUAAAAUACAUUUUUUAUUGAAACUAUUAAUGCACAAAUGAUAUAUGUGGCUAAAGGUGUCAAUAUCAUUUUAGUCCGCUUUGCCUUACUGGUCGGGUUUAUUCACUUUUAUUAAAUAACAUGGAAUUCUUUUUCUUCUUUUUAUGGUAUCCAGUUAUCCAUCAGAUUUUUGAUGAUUACUAACUGCUGCAAAUGCGUAGGAUAAUAAUAAAUAAAUAUUUACAAAUGAAUUAUAUUAAGUGUCAAAAAUAAACAAAUACUAACAUGACAUGUGGUUAAUAGAUAUAGGAAGAUAUGUGGUGAGUGCCAAUGAGACAACUCUCCAUCCAAAUAACAAUUUAAAAAAAGUAAACCAUUAUAGGUCAAUGUACGGCCUUCAACACAGAGCCUUUUUACAAAACUACGUACUACAAUUGUUACUGUUCUAUAGUGUAGAGAACAGUAGGUGUCAACUGUUCUCUAAAAAUAUUAAGAGCAUGGGAAAGUACUACUUUUGGAGGAAGUAAAUUCAUUGUGUAAUAGUGAACGGAAAAAAAUUAAUGUCUGUUGAACAUUGACAUUCCUAAUUUAUUAUGGAAGAGGAAAAUUUGUUAUCAAACAAAUUUUAAUUCAAUGCUAAUUAUAAAAAGAAAAUGUGGUAUUAUUGCCAAUGAGACAACUGUCCACAAGAGACCAAGAUGACACAGACAUUAACAACUAUAGGUCACCACCGUAUGGCCUUCAACAAUGAGCAAAGCCC
rnacentral:lncRNA from 1 species